AGCCCCCUGAGAUAGUUAUAGGGGGUUACCCCUGCUCAAUGAUUUUUAUUUAAUAGCCGCAGUACCCUGACUGUGCUAAGGUAGCAUAAUCACUUGGCCUUUAAUUGGGGUCUGGAAUGAAUGGGGCUAAUGGGGAGAAGCUAUAUUAAACUUACUUAUUUGAAUUUAUUUAGAGGGUGAAAAUCCCCUCAGGCUUUAACAUAGGACGAGAAGACCCUAAGAGUUUUCAUGCAAACUAAAGAUUAAAUUAAGCUUAGACACUGAUUUAAUCUUUCAUACUUUAGUUUUUGCUGGGGCGGCAGGACUUCACCAUAAAAACAAGUCUUAGUAUUUAAUAUACAAGUAAAUAGUUUAUAAGAAAGGAUAAACUACCUUAGGGAUAACAGCACUAUUCACUAUUGAGUUUAUGACCUCGAUGUUGGACUAAGUAUCUUAGUUGUCAGAAGCAACUGAGCAAUGUUCUGUUCGAACACAAUGUACUU
rnacentral:rRNA from 1 species